UGGGGAAUUUUCCGCAAUGGGCGCACGCCUGACGGAGCAAGACCGCGUGAGGGAGGAAGGCCCUUGGGUUGUAAACCUCUUUUCUCAGGGAAGAAGAAAGUGACGGUACCUGAGGAAUCAGCCUCGGCUAACUCCGUGCCAGCAGCCGCGGUAAUACGGAGGAGGCAAGCGUUAUCCGGAAUUAUUGGGCGUAAAGCGUCCGCAGGUGGUUGUUCAAGUCUGCGGUUAAAGACCGGAGCUUAACUCCGGACAUGCCGUGGAAACUGAAGAACUAGAGACCGGUAGGGGUAGAGGGAAUUCCCAGUGUAGCGGUGAAAUGCGUAGAGAUUGGGAAGAACACCAGUGGCGAAGGCGGCUCGCUGGGCCAUUCCUGACGCUGAGACGCGAAAGCGUGGGGAGCAAACAGGAUUAGAUACCCCCGUAGUCC
rnacentral:rRNA from 1 species